CCUCUCAAUGGAGAGUAAAUUG
rnacentral:miRNA from 14 species